CCUAACUUUGAAUCUCUUCGUAGGGUGCUUCAGGGAAAGCUGGGGACCCUGGGAGAGAUGUAAGUCAAG
rfam:Rattus norvegicus chromosome 8, whole genome shotgun sequence.